rnacentral:lncRNA from 1 species
AUGGAAGUACUAAUGCAGAAGUAGCCUCUGAACUAUUAAGGCAACAGUGCUGGCAGCACAGAAAAAUGAAGUUUCUAUAGCCUGCUCUGAUGCUACGCUGAGAACACGGUGCUCAGGAUGGGAUAGAGGAAUUUUGCACUGUUUUGUGUUGCCUGUGAUUUAAGGCACAAAUGUGAUGUUCAUCCUAAAGUGGUUAUUUUUAAAAUCUUUCUAGUUCUUGCAACAAUUUUAUCUUGUCUGUUCCUAACUUAUGCUGCAAUACUUCAAACAUGUAUCUCGUCCAUAAACAACAGUGCACUGAAGAUGCUGAAAAUGAGUGAAUAGUGAGGGGAAGUUUUGCUGGAGCUGUUGUUCAUUGUGUUAACAUCAUCUACCCGUGUCCUCCUGGAUCCCAGCGGAAGUGAUUUUCAUAGGCAUUGAAAAGUUGUUAUGUUGAAG